UUUAUAGCUAUGAGAUCUGAGGGC
rnacentral:snRNA from 1 species